GGAAAUGUGCCCGAAGCACAAGGAUCACUUUGAUAGAGUGAACAAUAGGGAUUAAAUCCCCUCAUCUCCU
rnacentral:tRNA from 1 species